rnacentral:rRNA from 1 species
CGCGUAGGCGGUUGACACAGUCAGGCGUGAAAUUCCUGGGCUUAACCUGGGGGCUGCGCUUGAUACAUGUUGACUUGAGUAUGGAAGAGGGUCGUGGAAUUCCCAGUGUAGAGGUGAAAUUCGUAGAUAUUGGGAAGAACACCGGUGGCGAAGGCGGCGACCUGGUCCAUUACUGACGCUGAGGCGCGAAAGCGUGGGGAGCAAACAGGAUUAGAUACCCUGGUAGUCCACGCUGUAAACGAUGUGUGCUGGAUGUUGGGCGGCCUAGCCGUUCAGUGUCGUAGCUAACGCGGUAAGCACACCGCCUGGGGAGUACGGCCGCAAGGUUGAA